AGUCAUAUCUUUAAUCAGGAAUAGUAAAGCAUUAUGCUCGAAGGGUGGCUUUAAAUUACACAAGUUCUUGUCAUAUAAGAAAGAAGUUCUAGAAGCAAUAAGCUUAGAGGAAAAGGUUAAAAGUUUAAAGAAUUUAGACCUCUCUAGUGAAGCCUUACCAAUAGAGAGAACUUUAGGAGUAGAAUGGUGCAUUGAAUCAGGUCAGAAUUAGUAUUAAUGACAAACCAAUAACUAGAAGAGGUAUAUUGUCAACAGUGAGUUCUGUUUUUGAUCCUAUGGGUAUGGUCUCACCCUUUAUAUUGAUUGGUAAAAGAAUACUUCAAACUUUGUGUCAAGAUGGAGUAGACUGGGAUAAUGACAUAUCAGAUGACUUGAAACAACAAUGGAGAAGAUGGAGAGAUGAUUUGAUUCAGUUGAAAGAGUUAAAGAUUCCUAGAUGCUACAAGCCUGACGAAUUUAGAAAGGUCAAAUCAAUUGAACUGCAUCAUUUCUCUGAUGCUAGCCAGAAUGGUUAUGGACAGUGCUCUUAUUUAAGGCAAGUAAGUGAGCAGGGACAAGUUCAUUGUGCCCUUGUCAUGGCAAAGUCUAGAGUACACCAUUGAAGCCUAUAACUGUUCCUACGUUAGAACUAACAGCUGCAGUUGUAGCCGUUCGAAUUAGUUCUAUGUUAAAGAGAGAGUUAGGUUACCAGGAACUAAAGGAAUUCUUUUGGACUGAUAGCAAAGUCGUACUUGGCUACAUUUCAAACGAAGCAAAGAGAUUCCAUGUGUUUGUUGCUAACCGAGUGCAGCAUAUUAAAGACCACUCCUCUAUGGAACAAUGGAAAUUUAUUGAGUCAGCUCAAAAUCCUGCUGACGCUGCUUCACGUGGAUUGUAUGUAAAGCAACUGAUUGAACAUUCUCUAUGGUGAAAUGGACCAAACUUCCUCUGGGAACCUGACUAUAAUGCUAAUCCAGCAUUUGUAAAUGUAAAUGUACAAGAGAAUGAUCCAGAGGUCAAGAAAAUUUCGUCAUAUAAGACCCAAACCAAAGAGAGCACUUCAAUUCUUCCAAGACUUGCAUAUUUUUCUGAUUGGCACAGGGCAAAGAAGGCUGUUGCAUUAUGUUUACGCCUUCAAUGUAGAUUCAAGAACCCUGGGAGAGCAACAGUCAACAAAGAACUGACUGAAAACAAAGAAUCCCAAUACACGUCACCUAGUGAACAGAACUUGUGGAAGCUGAAAAUGAAAUCAUAAGGCAAGUCCAAAAUGAAGCUUUCUAAAAGGUGAAACAAGAUUUACAAUGUGCAAACAACGACCAAAGAGAUGGCGAAGAGUUCAAUAUCUUGCUAAUGAAUUUUGGAAUAGGUGGAGAAAAGAAUAUGCUCAAUCGCUUCAGUGCAGGAACAAGUGGCCUUCAGUUAUUAAAAAUGUUAAGGUAAAUGAUAUUGUCAUUGUAAAGGAACAAAAUUUCCCAAGGAAUUCUUGGAAACUUUGUUGUGUAUCUGAGGUUAUGCCAAGCAAAGAUGGUCUUGUAAGAAAGGCUGAUUCCUCGCUUGACGCAUUUGGAAGACGAACGAAAGCAGUCGUUAACCUUGAAAGACCAAUCCACAAACUCAUAUUGUUAGUUGAAUCAUAGUGGAAGUGGGGUGUCCCCGCCAAAGAGCCUAUUUAAAUAUCAAAAUUGUGCCAACAAUUUAUAGUUCCUCAGUAGUAUAGAUAUUAAUUCCACAUUUUGCUCAUUUAAGUACAAUGUAACUAGAGUUUAAGGUAUAUUGUUUAUACAAUUUAGGGGAGCCAUGUUACUGCAGGGACAGAAUGUGUACUUAGUUAAAACAAUCAGUUCCUAUGCUUUGUGAUAUUACUAACAUAAGAUAAGUAUGAAAUAGAUAAGUAUACCCUCAUAUCGUUUUCUAAAGUGUACGACAUCUAUAGGGAAUUUGCAUAACUAAUCUGGGAAAUCAUUGGAAGCCAUUUUGUUACUCAGAGAACCCAAGUGAGGUGUCUGAGUUUAACGGAAACAAUUGGGAAGUAAUUGGGAUAAAAUGGAUGGUAAUGAAUUGCAUGUAAAGAGAAGAAAUCAAGAUGUAUCCAAGAUGCAAUAAAGUGCCAUAAAAAUCA